rnacentral:rRNA from 1 species
CAGUCGCCGCGGGAAUACGUAGGGUGCGAGCGUUAAUCGGAAUUACUGGGCGUAAAGCGUGCGCAGGCGGUUAUGUAAGACAGGCGUGAAAUCCCCGGGCUCAACCUGGGAAUGGCGCUUGUGACUGCAAAGCUAGAGUGCGGCAGAGGGGGAUGGAAUUCCGCGUGUAGCAGUGAAAUGCGUAGAUAUGCGGAGGAACACCGAUGGCGAAGGCAAUCCCCUGGGCCUGCACUGACGCUCAUGCACGAAAGCGUGGGGAGCAAACAGGAUUAGAUACCCCCGUAGUCCCUGUCUCUUAUAC